GUGCCAGCAGCCGCGCGGUAAUACGAAGGUCCCGAGCGUUAUUCGGAAUCACUGGGCGUAAAGAGUACGUAGGCGGUUUGGUAAGUCAGGUGUGAAAUCCCGGGGCUCAACCCCGGAACUGCAUCCGAUACUGCCAGACUGGAGUAAUGGAGAGGCAGGUGGAAUUCUCGGUGUAGCAGUGAAAUGCGUGGAUAUCGAGAGGAAGACCAAUGGCGAAGGCAGCCUGCUGGACAUUUACUGACGCUGAGGUACGAAGGCCAGGGUAGCGAAAGGGAUUAGAUACCCCUGUAGUCCUGGCAGUAAACGGUGCGCGCUUGGUGUGGGAGGACUCGACCCCUUCUGUGCCGGAGCUAACGCGUUAAGCGCGCCGCCUGGGGAGUACGGUCGCAAGACUAAAACUCAAAGAAAUUGACGGGGACCCGCACAAGCGGUGGAGUAUGUGGCUUAAUUCGAUGCAACGCGAAGAACCUUACCUAGGCUUGACAUGUAUUGCUAAGCACGUGAAAGCGUGUGACUCUUCGGAGACCUUACACAGGUGCUGCAUGGCCGUCGUCAGCUCGUGUCGUGAGAUGUUUGGUUAAGUCCAGCAACGAGCGCAACCCCUGUGGAUAGUUGCCAGCACGUAAUGGUGGGGACUCUAUCCAGACUGCCCAGGUCAACUGGGAGGAAGGUGGGGAUGACGUCAGGUCAGUAUGGCCCUUACGCCUAGGGCUGCACACGUACUACAAUGCCCAGUACAAUGAGAACCGAUACCGUGAGGUGGAGGAAAUCUACAAAACUGGGGCCCAGUUCGGAUUGAGGCUGCAACUCGCCUCCAUGAAGUUGGAAUCGCUAGUAAUGGCACAUCGCUACGGUGGCGUGAAUACGUUUCCCGGGGUCUUGUACCACCGCCCGU
rnacentral:rRNA from 1 species